rnacentral:tRNA from 1 species
GGAAGAGAAUCGUCCCCGGUGGGGCGGCCGGACUUCAAAUCCGGUUGCGGCAGCGAGCCUGUCGCGGGUGGGUUCGACUCCCAUUCUCUUCCGCCA